rnacentral:rRNA from 1 species
GACGAACGCUGGCGGCGUGCCUAAUACAUGCAAGUAGGACGCAGUUGCGAACGGGUGAGUAACGCGUAGGUAACUGCCUAUUAGAGGGGGAUAACUAUUGGAAACGAUAGCUAAUACCGCAUACUAGUAGAUGGACCUGCGUUGUGCUAGCUAGUAGGUAGGGUAAUGGCCUACCUAGGCGACGAUACAUAGCCGACCGUGGGAGGUGGACCGCCAAACGUGGACUGGGACACGGGCCCGGCUCCGUCCGGAAGCAGCAGUAGGGGAAUUUCGGCAAUGGGGGGAACCCUGACCGGGCAACGCCGGGGGAGAGGAAGAGGGUUUCGGAUCGUAAAGCUCUGUUGUUAAGGAAGCGGUACUUAACCAGAAAGCGACGGCUAACUACGUGCCAGCAGCCGCGGUAAUAC